GAAUGCGGAUCAACUUUUUCGGUAUCUGGUGGAGGUACAAGGAGAAGAAGAAUGCACUAUUAAGGAUGCGGAGCAAAUUAUACAGAAUGUUGCUAGCCGGAGGCACCAUCUCAUCAGACGCCUUAACCAUUCACUUGAACUCGAUGAUUUCUUUUUUUAUCUUUUUCAGGAUGAUCUCAAUGGAGCAAUCAAAUCUCAGGUGCACCAUGACAUGACUGCUCCAUUGCAACAUUAUUUCAUCUAUACAGGUCACAAUUCCUACCUAACUGGA
rnacentral:misc_RNA from 1 species